UGGGGGCCCCCAAAAACCCUAAACCCAACCCUUUUGAUAAAACCCCGAAAAUCAGCUCCUCUCUUGAGUCUCCUCAAGCUCCGAUCUCCAUCUCGAUCUCUCCAAAAAAACCCUAACCCUAACCCUAGAUUUCACCCAAUCACCGGCCUCUCCUCCUCCUCGUUCGGACCCAAACCGAUCUCGAUCCACGCCGCCUUCUCCCAAAUUUCGACCUCCAACCCGAACCCCAGCCCGAAUCCGAGCCUGAUAUUGAGCUGGAAACUGAGAACAAGGCUUGGCUGGAAUCGGAUCUGAAAGCCGAUAAGGGGGAGCUUGAUGUCGUCGAGGUGUCGAAGUUGAAGGGCACGGAGGCUCGCCGGUGGUUUGCGAGGCGGCUUAUGUUGCUGGAGUGGAUGAUUGAUGCUCCUCCUAACCUUGAUUCUGAUUGCUUCGGAAAUGAGGAACAAAGUUAGGGCAUAGUAUCAACAUCGUUUUGGAAGAUGGUCGUUUGGCUCAAGCACCAACAAGGAGUAAGCAACAAAUUGCCAAGCCUGCAAGUCUAAUGCCCAAUAGACGUGGACUGAAGAAUCCUUCCGCUCGAAAUAUUCAAUCGCAGACCCAAGCGGAGGUAUGUUUCAACAAACUGAGAAGUAUUUUAGUUUAGAUUUUUACACAUUGUUUGGAGCCACUUGUCUAGUGUCUACCCAUCUUUCUUAAUUUCUAUUGGAAACAGAGUCCUGACAGGAUUUAAGUAUCUUACUGGCUUGUUUCAUUUAUGUGGAAAUGUUAAUACCUGAAUUACAAACAAGGAUUAUUAACACAGCAUAGUGAUUGUUUAUACAUGUUGCUUUAGCUGAGCUUUCUCAUUUACAUUGUAUUACAGAAGAUAUCUCAUAUUUCUAUGUUGGUCAUUCUUAAUUUGGAUAAAUUACUUCUUAAUGUCUGAUCAAUAACAUUUUGUUCCCUAGCAUUUUAGGAAUUCAAAUUGGAAUUUAUUGAUAUUUUGUAUAUAGAGAAGGGCCUUGUGUUUACUUUUCGCACAGGGCCCCUAAAAUCUCAGAACCGGCCCUGCCUGUUGGUCCCAUAUUUUGGGUCCCUGUAACAAAGCUCGGGACAUGACUAAUCUUAAUGGGCUUUAAUAAUUUAAAUCAUUUAAUAAUACAAUAUAGGCAUAUAGUGUUUUCAUGUUUCAUCUUCCGCUAUUAGUUUUAAAGUAUUAUCUUUAAAUUAUUGUCAUUCCGAUAAGGAAAAGCUAAUAGUUCAUAUAAGGUUAUAAGAAGAAAGGACCCAAAAAUAAAAAAUAAAAGGAGAUAGAGAGAGAAAAUGGGAAAAAAGGAUUGCAUGAGAUGUCAACAAAUUUGUAUCUUCAAAAAUAAAAUAAAAUAAACACACACACAUCACUAUUUUUUUACCGUAACCAUUAAUUAUAUAGUCGGCGAUUAUGAUCCAUUAUAAAUCCAACACUUAUCAUAUCCUAAGAAUUAUAAUUAUUCUUGAUUUGCACUCGAAGAAAAAUCUUAUCUACAUAAUACAAAAUCAAUGAUUAAGAUAUUACAGUGUUUCCGCUAUUAUGUUUUUUUUAGUGAAGGGUCUAAAUCCAAUGAGAACUUGAGCCGCAUGAAAAGUCAUCAUCAUUGUUUGUGAGUUUAUGGACUUACAAACAAAAGCAUAAUCCUGAGCAAUUCAAAUGAAAACUGGAAAGACUAGAUCAGAUGAAUACACAAGAAUUAUAGUGCUUAAUAAUUAGAAAUUAAGGAUACAUAAUGAUCUUUUGAACCAAGGCCCAAAGUCCCAAUCACUAGGCCAGUUGAACAAUAGAAGUGUUGCUUAGCUGGUUCUGAGCCAAGGUUUCAGGGGGAAAAGGCUUACUAGGAAAAUAAUGUGCUUGUUAGGCUAAAUAUUAGAAGCCCCGUUAAAUUUGGAUGAUAAACCCCUCGUAACUUUUAAAAUAUUUGAAAAACCCUUUGAGUUUAUGGGUUACUAGAAAACCCACUUUAGCUUUAAAACUUUAAUAAUAAACCCCUUAAAAUUGUGAACAAUAAUUUUCACUGAGAAAAAUAUCCUUUAUAAUUUUGUUCAAACACCAAAAUCCAAUUUAGUCCAUUUUGGACGAAUAGUGAUCGUGAGCAUAACGAUCACUUGAACAUGCUUUAUUAUAUAUAGGAAAAUGUUAGGAAUUUUAUGGAGAUUAAUAUGCGGAAUUAAACACUAAAUAAAUAAUGGCACCAAUAAAAAUACCACACGCAAGCAAACACCAAGAUUUAACGUAAUUCGACAAAUCGUGCCUAUGUCUAUGGGGCAAUCCAGUGAGUAAUAUUUCACUAUCAGUCGAGAGUAUAAUCCCUCAAAGUUACACCCGAACUUGAGGGUCGAAUCACAAAGAAAAAAUACGUUACCUCUAGGACCCUAAAAUCCGUCUCACCACAAAUUUCUAACUCUUGUGGAGAAAUUGACACCGUACCCUCGACGACGUCGUUGUUCUGAAGACAAUGACUUUUGAAUCACUGUAAACGGACAACCGAGCUAUUCAGAAUCUUAACUUUUUUCUCUCUCUCCCCCCUCUCUCUCUCUUCGAAAUCCACACAGCGCUCGAUAAACUCUCGUGUAACUGUAGCUACAGGAAAACUGAUCUCAGGGUGAUGCUCUUCCCGUGCCCAAUUCCUUUAAUAAAGAAAAUUUAUCCCUAGGUCCUCCUUUCCUAUUCAAAUUAUGAAUAGGUCCAUAUUAAUCAUUUUCUUAGUAGGAUUCAAGAAAUUUGGUCUAGUCCUUGUGGGCCCCAAUUAGGCUGGAGCCACAACAAUCUCUCCCUUCAGCCCAACGAGGUGGAUGUCAAUGCCGGCCAAUCACCGACAUAACUCGGUCUUCUCUCUGGAAACGAUCUUCGUUAAAAAAUCUGCUUGAUUUUUAUCCGUGUGAAUCUUCUGAAGCUUCAGCUCCUCUUUCUCAAUAGUUUCUCUAAGCCAAUGAUAUCUCACAUCAAUAUGUUUUGUCUUGGAAUAGAAUGUAGAAUUCUUGCUCAAAUCAAGAGCACUUUGACUAUCAUUGAAAACUUGAUAAUUGUCAUGCUGCAAGUCUAACUCCUGCAAAAAUCUUCUCAACCAAACCAUCUCCUUAUCGGCUUCUGCAACUGCAAUAUACUUCGCCUCUGCUGUAGAUAAAGUAACACACUUCUGUAACCUGAACUACCAAGAUACAUCUCCCCUUGCAAAAGUGAACAACCAACAUAAGGUAGAUUUUCUGUGAUCGAGAUCAUCUGUCAUAUCUACAUCUGCAAAACCAUAUCAUAUUGCCUUCGAAUGUCAAAAACUCAAACAUAAUCUCGAACUGUCUUUCAAACAUUUUAAGAUCCACUUUACACAUUCACAAUGAACUUUUCCUGGAUUAGAAGGAAAUCUGCUCAUAACUCAAACUGCAUGAGCUAUAUCUGGUCGAGUGCAAACCAUGACAUACAUCAAACUCUCUACAGCUGAAAAGUAAGGAAUAUUCACCAUCUCACUCUUUCCUCAUCUGUAGUCAGGGCAAAACUUAUUGGCUAAGCUUUAAAUGACCUGCAAGAGGAGUACUGACUGACUUGACAUCUUUUAUAUAUGUUGAAUCUAUCAAGCAAUCCAUUCGUUGGGUGAUCCAUUGCUCUCACGCGUUCAACAUAUUUCUCUUGUGAUAACCACAACUUUCUGGCUUUCCUGUCACGAGCAAUAUUCAUACCAAGAAUCCGCUGUGCCGAUCCUAAAUCCUUCAUGUCAAAGGAUUUAAAUAACUCCUUCUUCAGCGCAAUGAUCAUCUGACUGUCCUAACCAACAAUCAACAUAUCAUCCACAUAAACCAAAAGGAUAAUGAAGCUAGAAUCUAAAAGUCUCCUGAAAUACACACACGAAUCUGUAACUGUCCUCUGAUAGCCAUGACUCAACAUGAAAGAAUCAAAUUUCUUGUACCAUUGCUUGGGUGCGUGCUUCAAGCCAGUCUGAAACAGUGAGCAAAUUAAGAGCAAGAUUAAUUGGUUAACCUAGAACUUAUUACGAUAAACUUUGAUGUAAUAAGAAAGAUGUCAACCAUUAUUGAGGUUUGAGAGUUAGGUUACAUACCUUCUAGCUGGCUGGAUCUAGAUACGAUACAAAUACAAGGGUGGUUGGUAAGGAGAUUCCAUAGUGCAUAUAUGUCAAAAUCGACUAUGGAUACUGAUCAAUUGAAAUAACAACAUAUAAAGAUAAAAUGUAGAGAUGAGGAUAACAUAUAAGAUUAGAAAAAUAUAUAUAUCAUGCUAGACAAAAACCUACUUAAAUGUAACAAAAUUUCUCAAAUCAGAGUCCAAGCACAUUUUUGACAUAUAAAAAAAAACUAUGGUGGAUCACAAAAAUGGAUCUCACAUCCACUAAUCUAAGGUGAAAAUGAACGAAUAUUGAAAUUGUUCAAUCAAUACAUAAUCUGAUUAUUUGGACACGGGUUAAGAUACUCACUUACAUUCAUAAUAUCUGUAUCUGUAUCCCAUCAGAACGAGAGUAUUCUACAUACAACAUUAUACUAAUUCAGAAUACGUGUAUGUAUAAAUUGUACAAAUUCUCCUUUUCCCUUAGGAGCUCUAUAGCUUUUUGAGUGAUCAUGUUACAAUUAAGAUCUGGUACUACUACUUGAGAGAUGAACAUUCUAAUGCAACAAAGAAGAAGGUCCUCAAACAUUUCUCAAAGUAACAUAUGAGAAACAAGGGAAGCAUGCCCUUCAUAUCAAAUGUACCCAAAAAUCUUCCACUUAGAAACUGUUUACAUACAAAAAUUUACCCCAAUUCAACUAGUAAGAUACAAAUACAAGGGUGGUUGGUAAGGAGAUUACAUUGUGCAUAUAUGUCAAAAUCGACUAUGGAUACUGAUCAAUUGAAAUAACAACAUAUAAAGAUAAAUGUAGAGAUGAGGAUAACAUAUAAGAUUAGAAAAAUAUAUAUAUCAUGCUAGACAAAAACCUACUUAAAUGUAACAAAAUUUCUCAAAUCAGAGUCCAAGCACAUUUUUGACAUAUAAAAAAAAACUAUGGUGGAUCACAAAAAUGGAUCUCACAUCCACUAAUCUAAGGUGAAAAUGAACGAAUAUUGAAAUUGUUCAAUCAAUACAUAAUCUGAUUAUUUGGACACGGGUUGAGAUACUCACUUACAUUCAUAAUAUCCGUAUCUGUAUCCCAUUGGAACGAGAGUAUUCUACAUACAACAUUAUACUAAUUCAUAAUACUUGUAUGUAUAAAUUGUACAAAUUCUCUUUUUUCCUUAGGAGCUCUAUAGCUUUUUGAGUGAUCAUGUUACAAUUAAGAUCUGGUACUACUACUUGAGAGAUGAACCUUCUAAUGCAACAAAGAAGAAGGUCCUCAAACAUUUCUCAAAGUAACAUAUGAAAAACAAGGGAAGCAUGCCCUUCAUAUCAAAUGUACCCAAAAAUCUUCCACUUAGAUACUGUUUACAUACAAAAAUUUACCACGUGCAUUGCACGUGCAAUUCAACUAGUAAGAUACAAAUACAAGGGUGGUUGGUAAGGAGAUUACAUUGUGCAUAUAUGUCAAAAUCGACUAUGGAUACUGAUCAAUUGAAAUAACAACAUAUAAAGAUAAAAUGUAGAGAUGAGGACAACAUAUAAGAUUAGAAAAAUAUAUAUAUCAUGCUAGACAAAAACCUACUUAAAUGUAACAAAAUUUCUCAAAUCAGAGUCCAAGCACAUUUUUGACAUAU